CAUUUGGCUGAAAUCUUGUUCACUAUUGGUUUCUCUCCCUCUCUUGCUCUUCCACAGGCAGCAAGUGCUCUCCUUCUGUUUUUCAUGCAUGUGGGAGUCUCCAGCAUUUACAUUAGCAAGAGUAACAGCCGUGGUGGCAGCAUCUGGAUCCUUGAUUGACAGCAUUAUGGAAAGUUACUGGCCAGAUACUCCUUACUUAAGUUGGCACCAAUCAACUUGCCUGGGGAUCAGUCAAAUGGGGUGAGGUGAGGGGGACUUCAGGAGAUCCUUCCCAGAUGGAUGCCAAAUUCCUUUGAUAGCCCUGUCAUUGUCAAGAAUUUCUUCAAGUUUAUGUGUAUAAGAAUAAAAUCUUGUUCAAGUUUA